CAGCAGCCGCGGUAAUACGAAGGGGGCUAGCGUUGUUCGGAUUUACUGGGCGUAAAGCGCACGUAGGCGGACUUUUAAGUCAGGGGUGAAAUCCCGGGGCUCAACCCCGGAACUGCCUUUGAUACUGGAAGUCUUGAGUAUGGUAGAGGUGAGUGGAAUUCCGAGUGUAGAGGUGAAAUUCGUAGAUAUUCGGAGGAACACCAGUGGCGAAGGCGGCUCACUGGACCAUUACUGACGCUGAGGUGCGAAAGCGUGGGGAGCAAACAGGAUUAGAUACCCGCGUAGUCCCUGUCUCUUAACA
rnacentral:rRNA from 1 species